CACUGCUGGGAUCAGGAGCAACUCCUGCGUCUGCAGAGACGCUAGGAUGGAUGAGUUAUUUCACGGGGCGAACACCAGCCCCUGACUCUUCCAAAGUCUCCUGUUUCAUCUCUGCAGAGACUCUCUGGUUGCAGAGAGUGCAGGGACUCGGCUGCAGCUCACUCUACAGAAGAAGAACAUCUGGACGACGGCCGAAUUUCUUCUCUUCCUCAGCGAGUCUGGACUUCGUGGGACACUCCAGGAACUUCGCGAAACUGAUGUGCUAUGCAUCGGAGACGCUGUCAACCCGUCAAUAAGAUCUUCAGGUCUCCUGAAUGGAGAAAAUCAUCUAUUUUGACGCAGAAAAUUACGUACGUUGGCAGAGUAAAUCAUCCACGUUGGCAGAUAAAAUUAGAGCGGCUGCUCUGAAAAUGAGCGUUGAAACUGCUGGAAACAUCUGCCCCACCUAGCUCAACAGCUCAGGACCAGAAGCAAGUCAACAAUGUGAGAGACAGCAGAUCAUCCAGAUCAGGAUGCGCAAGAGGAAGAGCAAAAGGAAGAGGAAGAAGAAGCGGAAGAGGAAGCGGAAAAGGAAACCCAACUGGAAGAACAUUCUUCGAAGAUGGUUACAAAGGUCGGUUAAAUAUUCUGCAGUAACAGCCCCUCGGUUGCGUUAAUCAAUGCCUAGUGUAUAGCCUUAGUUCAUCUGGGGUUUUGAGAGAAGAUCAAAAGGAGGACAAGAAAUAUAAGGAGGAUUUGGGGAAGAAUACCUAUAAUCCUACAAAAACAUAGCAGGUGAUUUCUACAUUGACAAGUUGAGGGAUGAUUUCUAUAAACCCUCAGGAGAAUAUGGCCUAGAAUAAGGUCAACAAACCUCAGAGUUAGAGAGCUGUUCUGUAGUUCUGUAGUCCAGUCCACCCCCCUCAUUUAACAGAUGGAGAAUCCAUCUCAGGAAGUACUUGCCCAAAAUCACAAAAGAGGCAAAGAUGGGAUUUGAAUUCAGUCUUCUGACUUUAAGUCCAAGGUUCUUUUGAAGGGACCUUAGAGAUACUUUGGUCCUGUAAAUUUGCAGCUGGUGAAACUGAGGCCUUCAGGGCAAACUGGCCCAAGCUCCUGGUCUACUACUAAUUAACUAUAAUAUAGAAGUAAGCAUCCCAGCAUGCUUGCAAAUAAUACAUGUACCUGAGUCUAAAGCAUUUGAUUUCCUGGAAUUUCUAAAAGGAAAUAAUAGACAGAGAUAGAUCAUUUUGUCCAAACUGUGUAAGCAGCUUUGGUGUAACUGCUACUCUAGGCUCAGGCAGCUGCCAGGCAGUGAAAGUAAUCAGAACCAUGGAGCAAUGUGGUCUCUCUAGGGAGCCACACCCUAUUUUUUGGCCCAAGACCAUUUUCCUCAAUGGAGCAUUGGCUCCUGGAAACCAUUGUACUUAAUGGAGCAUUGGCUCCAAGAAACGAUUGUGCUUAAUGGGGCAUUGGCUCCUAGAAACCAUUGUGCCUAACGGAGCAUUGGCUCCGAGUGGCUCCAGGUAUGCUCCUGGAGGGGCUCUGGAGCCACAGACACUGUAGGCUGAACUCCCUCUUAGGAUGGCUGAGUGAAGCCUGUUAAAGAGUCGGUUGCUCAGGGAGAGGGAGGGAUUAUGCCAGAGCUGUCAUUAGACUACUGAUUUCAUUCAUUAUAUCACUUCUCUGUUCAAAGACUUUCCAGUGGUUCCCUAUUCCUAAUAGGAUCAAAUCCAGAUUCAUUAGGCUGAUGGCCACAUUCCAGUCCCAUACUACCUUUUCUAACCCCAUCUCCCAUCCUUCAAAUGAUUCAACACUUCAAGGACCUGUGAUUUCACUGGUGUGGGAACUCCUUUCACUGAUACAGGUUGUAACCCUUUCUGUGGCUUAGCUCAUGUUCUUUGAGAGGUACUGUUUCCAAAAACUUUCAUCACCAUGAGGCCAACCUGGCCCUAAGUCUUUAUGAACUUAGCUUGGCUGGUCCUCAUACAGCAUCCAUCCUUGGAGACCUGGCAAGGGAGCUUGGUCCUCUAACCCCUGGGGCACAGACGUCAAGGAUUCCCAGUCACCUUCUCCACACCGCAAUGAGACCUCUGAAGAGGGUCACUUGAGCUGAGCUUCCCAGAGGAGAUGAGACUUGAACCCUGUCAUCUUUCGAAGGCUCAGCUCAAGCCCUACAUCCUCCAUGAAGCUUUCCCUGACCCCCACAGUCUCAGGGGACCUCUCCCUCUUCUGAACUCAAACAGCACUUGUCUGUACUGUAUUGUUUGAUUGGCACUCACACCAUAUAUUGUCCAGUGAGUGUUCUUCUAUUGUUGUCUUGUAUUGUUACUCAGCUUAACCUAUGUGUAAGCCUGGGCUCCCUUGCCAAAUGGUGAGCUUGAGCUUGUGUUGAGGGCCGGGAAUGUGCUUUAUAUGUCUUUGUAGCUCCCAGGGUGAACGUAGUCUAGCAUUGGGCUAGGCACAUAGUUCUCUUGGGUUGGUACUUAUCGUUAUUAUUUUUUUAGGCUGGGUAAUUAUUUCUUUGGUUAAGGUCCUAAAAGUAAAAUGCUUUCUUCUGGACCUUAAAGAAGCUCACAAACAUCUCAGCCUUUAGAAUUUUCAGCAUUGCUGAACUGUAUUCCCCUUUGGGAUUGAGUCCUUCCUUGGUAGCAAGAGAAGCAUAUACAAUUGAGGGAAAAUGGCAGUGGGGAAACUGUGCCAAGGGAAUAUGUUCCAUUGGGUGGAAGUCACAGGGAGAAAAACUGUAGCCUAGUACAAGGAACAACAUUCCUAACAGUCAGAGCUGUCCUGCAAUGGAUCAGUAGGCCUCAGAAGGGAGUGGGACCUUCCUGACAUAGGAAGUGUUCAAACAGAGGCCCAAAGAUGCUCUCCCUCCACCCACUCCCCCCACAGCAAUAUCACAGAGUGGGAGGAUGGAUCACUUCAAAAAUCCUUCCUAUUUCAGAGUCUUUACUUAAAUACUUCAGGAAUAUUGUGGGUAUUCCCAACAAAUGUUGCAACCCCUCUACAAACUUAGAAAUGGGGCUUUAGAGAGUUGCUGUGGGGAAAUUUGUAAGAUGCUCCUCCACCAACAGACCCAUGGUACUGCACAGGAGCCUGUCCUGAGAGUCUCAGAUUUUGUAAUAAGGGACACAUUACAGAGUGUCCCGUGAUAUGUCACAGCAUUCAGGAGUUGUGAGGGGCAGAGCUGGGCCAUCAUAGGAAGGAAAGUCCAUGGGCCAAGGGCUUUGCUUAGAUUCUAGCAUAAGGGAAGGGGAUCACAUUAUAGGGGGACAAAAAAAAUCUCUCCAAUAGCACCAAGUUUGCUGCUACUGUCUGAGGGCUGACAGCUGGAGAUCUUCCUUUCUGCCCCUUCCCUCCUCCUCUUUGCUCACUCUUCCCUGGUUGAGCUCCUUUUUGGAAGGAUUUUCCAAUUUGUUCAGAGGCUGUGCUUGAAAAGGCACUGACUAGAAUGUGACCCAAGGCACCUGCAAUCAAGCCUCUGCAAUUAGAGACUUGAUUCUUGCCUCUCUUUGGGAAUCUUGUGACACCGGCAUGUGUGACUUUCCAGGGGGCUGCAAAGGUAGCAAGAUUUCUUGGGUCAGAGGUAUGAGUAGCAAAGAAGAGGGAGCAGCAAGAAACUCUCCUACUUAGAAAAGGGCCCUCCCCUGCCCUGAAAGGCCAUCUGACGAUGACAAUAAGGACAGAACCCAUCAUAGAAGAGCUCAUUAUUUCAAAAAUUACAAGUCAAACCAUGCCUCCUGACACCAGCAAUGGGCAAAAAUCUGAUAGAAUCUGAUUAGUACAGAACUUAAGUAUUAGCUUGGUGCCUUUUCCCCUUUAUACUGCUGGUUUUAGCCUAUCCUUCCUUUAUAACACCAGCAUUAUAUAGGAGUUUUGUUGUAUAAACCAAUAGUAUUGCAACUUGUAUUCAUAGAGUUUCUUUCAUCUAGGAAAUGCAUCAAGUUCAUACCUACCACCUUAGGGACAAUCACAAUACCUACUUCAAGGUAGAAGAAGCAGGAACAGUCAAUCUUGUUCUGUUUCAGCAUUAAAUAAUUCCUUGUAACGAAGAGAAACAAAAAUUAGCCACUAAUUUGGUGAUUCAGAGAGGGAAUGCAACAUGCUGUACCCAUAGUUGCCCAACUCUCAAACAAGAGAGGAAGGCAUAUUUCAAUACCUGGUCUUUGGAACCAAGAGGAGUCAUUAUAACUAUGCAGAGUUUGGGUUCCUUUUUUCAUUCUUUUCAUUUAUUGUAUAUACAUAUAUAUGCAUAUAUAUUCUUCUCUUAAAUAUGCUUACUUGAUUGCAUCAGUUUAUAUAGGUUUUCCCAUAUUUCUCUGAAUUCCUCACAUUUGUCCUUUCAUAUGACACAGUUUAAUACUACAUUACAUGGGUACUGGAAAACAGUUUAUUCAGUCAUUCUCCAAAUGAAGGGCACCUAGUUUAUUUUCUAUUCUUUGCCAAACACACACACACACACACAC